UACGGGGGGAGCAAGCGUUGUUCGGAUUUACUGGGCGUAAAGGGUGCGUAGGUGGCGCUGUAAGUCAGGUGUGAAAUUUCGGAGCUUAACUCCGAAACUGCAUUUGAUACUGCGGUGCUCGAGGACUGGAGAGGAGACUGGAAUUUACGGUGUAGCAGUGAAAUGCGUAGAGAUCGUAAGGAAGACCAGUGGCGAAGGCGGGUCUCUGGACAGUUCCUGACACUGAGGCACGAAGGCCAGGGGAGCAAACGGG
rnacentral:rRNA from 1 species